GCGGGUGUGGUUUGGCUGAAUAAUAUUUCAUUAUCCUGUAUACAUCUUCCAUAGCAGAUGUGCUUUUAUGCGUAUUCGGAUGGUCAUUUGGGGACGCCCCACCUUCCACGGUUCUGAAUGAUGCUGCUAGGUACCAAUGAUCAAGUAAGUCCCUGCUUCCAUUCCUUCAGGUGCUUAUUUAAAAGUUAAGACAUGCUGGACCACAAGGUGCUGUGUGUUUAAGGUUCCUCAAAGCCAUGGUCGGCCCGUUUUGAUGCAUGAAUAGGUUAGAAUUGACAUUCGGGCUUGGCAGUGGUGGUGACCUCACAGCAGAGGUAGGUGCAUCUCUGAGUUCCAGGACAACCAGGGCUACACAGAGAAACCCUGUCUCCAAAAACAAACAAACAAGUUGGCUCUGGACCCUCAUGUUCGGUUUUACACUUUCAGUGUCCAAUAUAUUUUAUGCACUUCUCCACCACCAAAACCAGAAAGAUGCAUGGCAGAAACAGAGCUAGAAAAACACCUUUAUGCUUUCUUUUAUAACUCAGGGUCAUUGCCUGCAUUCAGUCCUUCUUCAGCUCCUAGUGUUUAGACAACCCCGUUCUCUGUUCCUGUUGAUCACAUGCACAUCUCUUUACAUAUUCACAUGUAUUAUUGACUAAAUUCCACAUAUGAGAGAGAAUGUGUGUUGUUUUUUCUUUCUUCCCGAGAUUUUGUGACCUUGUGUGACAGCCCACAGAAUUGACUCCAUUCCAUUUUGACUUAAGGUCGUAGAGUUUUACCUGUCCUUGCUCUUCCAAGGUGAAACAAUGAAGAUGUCUGGCCUAAGAUGUGGAUGCAAAAGGGUGUUUGGCCUAAGGGGUGGUCGAUGCAUACCCUGCCUAAACAACAGAAUACUUAACUCAGAAUAUGGUUACUUGAUGUUUGGGGUGUUGAGGAGGCUAUUACUCUGCUUGUUCUAUGUAUAUUCGUAAGGAAGUCUUUUGCCUUUCCCCAUUUUGAUUGGGGUAUAUAGGAGCUUUGAGUAAUAAACUUGGGGCUGAUCCUAGUAUUCACUGGAAGCCCUCCUGACUCUA